rnacentral:rRNA from 1 species
UAUAUUAUAACCAUUAGACCCACAGGCGAAGACAACUCGAUUGUACGGGAUUACGGGCACGGAUAGGUGGCGCAACCCUUAUAGAACCGAGCCCUCCAUCCCAGGGUGCUCCGUCACGGGUGCUUGCCAGCGGCAUCCCAGAGUGCGCAGGAUGUGACCCGAAAGAUGGUGAACUAUGCCUUGAUCAGGUCGAAGUCAGGGGAAACCCUGAUGGAGGACCGAAGCAAUUUCUGACGUGCAAAUCGAUUGUCAGAGUUGAGCAUA